rnacentral:rRNA from 1 species
AUUGAACGCUGGCGGCAUGCCUUACACAUGCAAGUCGAACGGUAACAGGUCUUCGGAUGCUGACGAGUGGCGAACGGGUGAGUAAUGCAUCGGAACGUGCCCAGUAGUGGGGGAUAGCCCGGCGAAAGCCGGAUUAAUACCGCAUACGACCUGAGGGUGAAAGGGGGGGAUCGCAAGACCUCUCGCUAUUGGAGCGGCCGAUGUCAGAUUAGCUAGUUGGUGGGGUAAAGGCCUACCAAGGCAACGAUCUGUAGUUGGUCUGAGAGGACGACCAGCCACACUGGGACUGAGACACGGCCCAGACUCCUACGGGAGGCAGCAGUGGGGAAUUUUGGACAAUGGGCGCAAGCCUGAUCCAGCAAUGCCGCGUGCAGGAAGAAGGCCUUCGGGUUGUAAACUGCUUCUGUCAGGGAAGGAAUCUUCUGGGCUAAUACCCUGGGAGGAUGACGGUACCUGAAGAAUAAGCACCGGCUAACUACGUGCCAGCCGCCGCCGUAAAAC